rnacentral:rRNA from 1 species
GACGAACGCUGGCGGCGUGCUUAACACAUGCAAGUCGAACGGAAAGGCCCUGCUUUUGUGGGGUGCUCGAGUGGCGAACGGGUGAGUAACACGUGAGUAACCUGCCCUUGACUUUGGGAUAACUUCAGGAAACUGGGGCUAAUACCGGAUAGGAGCUCCUGCUGCAUGGUGGGGGUUGGAAAGUUUCGGCGGUUGGGGAUGGACUCGCGGCUUAUCAGCUUGUUGGUGGGGUAGUGGCUUACCAAGGCUUUGACGGGUAGCCGGCCUGAGAGGGUGACCGGCCACAUUGGGACUGAGGUACGGCCCAGACUCCUACGGGAGGCAGCAGUGGGGAAUAUUGCACAAUGGGCGGAAGCCUGAUGCAGCAACGCCGCGUGCGGGAUGACAGCCUUCGGGUUGUAAACCGCUUUCGCCUGUGACGAAGCGUGAGUGACGGUAAUGAGUAAAGAAGCACCGGCUAACUACGUG